UUCACCCAAUUGAAGGUAACUGCAUGCAAAUGCAACACCUAAUCUCAACUCCCCGCACCCAAAUUUCCCAUAGCCGAUCCAAGAAGAAUCGCUCAUCAAUUGUCACCAAGUUUCUAAUGAAGGUUUCCCCUACAAUGGAGCCAACCUUGAUAAACACAGCUGGAUAGCCAACUGGAGCGUCUACCUUAAUUUCGCAACCGAGUUUAGCAUAUACCUCCCCUGUCCAUAUAUGUUGCCAUGAAGAACUGUCAUCUAAAGGAAAGUAGGCUUUGACAUAGUUCUUGCCUUUGUCAAGGACUGGCACAACUAGGAUCUCAGAACCAACUAAAAACUGCUGGUGACCUAAUGUAAGCACGUACUCAUCUUCUGGGUAGUGAACAAAUAGGUGGCGGCAUACAGGUAGGCCUCUUUGAGCGGCUUCCUGUAUUGUUUCGUGACCCAGAACAGAGGAAAAAGAUCACCAGAUCUGUGUGGAAUUUGAAACUAUGGAAGUUGCAGAUAGAAUAUAAAAGGUUGCAUAUUUACCUUCACAAGUUGGAUUCUAUAAAACUUCCAAGCACUAUAGACCUUAGCAAAGCGAGCAAACUGCGACAAUGUUCGAUUGUUUGAGUAGAAUUGGCUGUUGCAGGAUGGUUUGUUUCCCUAUAUACAGAGACAGUUGAAAAUAGUGCUUUAACAAGACUGAGUAUGUUGAAAAUUUGUAGAGGAUAAUAAUACUCUGAUGCAAGCUUUAUAUGGUUAUAGACGUAUAUACGAUAAUUCAGUCUUCCCAAAAUGAAGCUGAUUUGUACAUAAUGCUUGGUGCAGGUUAAGCUUCUAUAUGUUUGGUGAAUUUUACUGAGGAUAAAAAUCUUGACACCUUGCUUCUUAUGCAUUUAGGGUUUCAUGUGUCAACUGAAAAUUUGAUGUCAAACAUAGGGAGCGUUUGGCCCCGUAAAUGGAGUUAAUAAGUCUGGGUUAAUAUGUUGGAGUUGGGUGUAGAGUUGUAAAAUGAGGCUAAUAUGUCGGAAUUAGUAAGUUUAAAUUUGGGGUGUAGAGUUCUAAAAUGGAUUUCAUAAAUGUGAAAAAAAGAUUAAGAAGGAAUGAUGAAUUUCUCUAUAAAUGUAAAAAGUAGAGAUGGAAAGUUGAAGUUUCUUGGUAGAUGUGAAAGUAUAAUAAGAAAAUGAACUUAAUAAAUAUGCACCUUCAAUAGUGUUUGUUUACUUCUUUUUCAGGUUUUGGUUCUAGUCAGAGAAAGGGACAGAGAAAACAGAAGAAGGAAAAAAUUAAGGUUGGUUUCUAACUUACUUCAUGGGUUCUGAAAACAGUGGUAAAGGCAUUUAACUCCAUCCAUCGUAGAAGCAGCUCCUCACUUCUUCGGUAUUUGAUGAACGGUAAAUUUACUGCGCAGUACCCUCCUAUAUCACUGUGAUUAAAAGCAUAGCCCGAAAGUCCACUGCUCAAAAGGCCAGUAACAGCACUCUUUAUCCCAUCAUUGGCUUGCCAACUUACCAUUUGGUCACCUUCCCAAAAUAGCAUCCCCCAUUUGGGACUGUUUCUGAAACCAGCUCUCAUGAAGAAAACUAAGGCCUCUUGUGGGUCUUCUUUCUCCUUACCAACAAGCUUACUUUUCCAUUCAUCUACAAAUUCUCUGUUAAUCUGCGCCCAUAUUUCUGGAUAUCUAUUAUGCGCAGUAAUAGGAUCUUCACCUGAAAUUAUGGUUCUUAAUCUGUGAGUAAUAUUAAUAUCCCACAGAAGAAAAGUAUGCAAUUCUGAUUAAAGUAAAUUUAAAGUAUUUUAGUGAAUAUCAAUUACAUCCAUUUACACCAGAUCUGUAUCAGCUUCUUGUUCAGGAUGUAGACACGAGUAUAUUGAAAAAAAAAAAAAGAAAAAAAAAAAAAACUAGAGAGUCUGGAACUCAUUUUUGCUUUUGGGAAUUACAAAAAUUUCAAGUCCAUCUCGACUUGGAGAUAUGUUCAAAGAAGCAUUUAAGAUUGAUCACAAUGCAUAUCACUCCUUCCUUUUCCGCCCAUCUCUUACCAAGAAAACAAAUUCUUGAUUUCUAUGAAGCAGUUGAAAUUUUUAGUGAUAAAUUUUUUUAAGAAAAAAAGACUCUUCAACAAUUGAUUUUGAGAAAAUCAAUGUAACAAGUCCCCCUUUAAGUAUAAGAUAUUAUACUACUUAGGUAGUUAUUUUGAAAUUGAGUACAAAUGAUGACAUUGAACUGUAAAUAUUUUCUUAGUAUAACCUGAAUAGAGGGUGGCAUCUACAGGCAAGCCUUCGCCGAAAUCAGCCAUCCAUCCUCUCACACCAUCAUCCACCAUUUCUUGUAGAAUUUCCUUGAACCAACUGGAAGUAUUUGGGUGCGUAAGAUCCAACAUUCCCACAUCAAAAGCUGUGUUGGGAACCAUGUAGGGUUCUCCAUUUUUCUUCUUUACCAAGAUCCCCAACGCCUUUGCUUCCUCAUAAAGAUUUCUCCUUCUGUUCUGCUUCUCAUCAGUCUGAAGUCGUACAAAUUUGAAACAGAAAUGAUCAGUCUUCCCUCUUUUAUCUCUGUUCAUUUAGUUAGCCAUUAAGAAGGCAGUGUAUAUGUCUAGGUGGAAAAGAGGAAAAGAAAGAAAAGUAAACAAAGAUGCCAUGCUUUUAACAUGCAAGCGUAGUCGAUAUUUCUGAUUUGGGGAUUGCAGAAGGAUUGAGAGAGUGGAAGAAGAAAAUACCGGUGCUAGGCAGGGAUUGCAGUAUGUCAUUACUUUUAUAUGCCGAGCUCCAAGAUCUUUAAUUAAUUGUUUCCAUCCAGAGUAUCUUGUUGCGUCAACUUCCCAGUUCCACCACAACUGUGAUCCAAUUACUGUUUCUCUCUGCCCUACCCAAUCCUAUAUAAUAUUCAUCUUUUAGAUAAGGAAUAAAUCUAAAAGAAUGUGUAUACACUUUAGAAAAAUUAUAUUAUUAUGAAAGCAUGUAAUAAAUACUAUAUAUCUGUGCAUCAGUUUUUGGAUUUGGUUUGAUCUACAGUACAAGAUGCUUAAUUUGAUCCAGAAAUGUAUUACUAACUUUUGGAAAUAAAAAACUUGUAUUACCUGCAACCAAAAUGCAGAAAUGGGAACUUCAUGAGCUUUUAGCUCAUCCCAGAUUUUUCUUACGAUAUUGGUCCCACCUUGCAUCCCUACAACCGCACCUGAUAUUAUCCAUCCAGGAAGCUCUGGAGGCCUCCCAAUGGUCUCAGUGAAACAUUCGAUAAGCUCUGAAGGUUGGUGAAAAGCAGUGAAGAGAAUAGUUAUUAAAAGUGUACCUGAAUCUGAACUCUAUCAUUCUUUGUCAGAUCAAAUAUAGAGUACUCAUAUCCUUCAAGGUACAGAGACCUCAUUUUGGAUGUCAUGUAAAAUGGAGAAGGAGCAUAUGUAGUACUCCAAUCACCUCCAGCCCUGAAGUGAAAGAAACUCCCAAACUUAGUUUUAGAAUUAAGAAGAUCGAUACGUGUACCUUUUGUUUGUUAAUAACAUGUUUUGAAGUGAUUCAAAAUGGUUAAAAUCACUUUUGUUAUUUUACACCAAAA